AGCUCCAAUAGCGUAUAUUUAAGUUGUUGCAGUUAAAAAGCUCGUAGUUGGAUUUCGGGUAGCCUUCAGCGGUCUCGCUUUGCGUUUGUACUGCUGCAGCCUGCCUUCUUGUCGGGGACGGGUUCACGGGCUUUAUUGCUUGGGACUCGGAGUCGGCGAUGUUACUUUGAGUAAAUUAGAGUGUUCAAAGCAGGCUGUCACAGCCCGAAUACAUGAGCAUGGAAUAAUGGAAUAGGACCGCGGUUCUAUUUUGUUGGUUUCUACGACCGCAGUAAUGAUUAAGAGGGACAAUUGGGGGCAUCCGUAUUUCGUUGUCAGAGGUGAAAUUCUUGGAUUUACGAAAGACGAACAACUGCGAAAGCAUUUGCCAAGAGUGUUUUCAUUAAUCAAGAACGAAAGU
rnacentral:rRNA from 1 species